AGCGUGCGUAGGCGGUUUAUUAAGUCAGAUGUGAAAGCCCCGGGCUUAACCUGGGAACUGCAUUUGAAACUGGUAAACUAGAGUAUGGUAGAGGAAAGUGGAAUUUCUGGUGUAGCGGUGAAAUGCGUAGAUAUCAGAAGGAACAUCAAUGGCGAAGGCAGCUUUCUGGACCAAUACUGACGCUGAGGUACGAAAGCGUGGGUAGCAAACAGGAUUAGAUACCCUGGUAGUCCACGCCGUAAACGAUGAUAACUAGCCGUUGGGGGGAUUUACCCUUUAGUGGCGAAGCUAACGCGUUAAGUUAUCCGCCUGGGGAGUACGGCCGCAAGGUUAAAACUCAAAGGAAUUGACGGGGACCCGCACAAGCGGUGGAGCAUGUGGUUUAAUUCGAUGCAACGCGAAGAACCUUACCUGGUCUUGACAUCCUGCGAACUUUCUAGAAAUAGAUUGGUGCCUUCGGGAACGCAGUGACAGGUGCUGCAUGGCUGUCGUCAGCUCGUGUCGUGAGAUGUUGGGUUAAGUCCCGUAACGAGCGCAACCCCUAUCCUUAUUUGCCAGCACAUCAUGGUGGGAACUAUAAGGAGACUGCCGGUGAUAAACCGGAGGAAGGCGGGGACGACGUCAAGUCAUCAUGGCCCUUACGACCAGGGCUACACACGUGCUACAAUGGGAAGGACAAAGAGCCGCGAAGCCGCGAGGUGUAGCUAAUCUCAUAAACCUUUUCGUAGUCCGGAUUGGAGUCUGCAACUCGACUCCAUGAAGUCGGAAUCGCUAGUAAUCGUAGAUCAGAAUGCUACGGUGAAUACG
rnacentral:rRNA from 1 species